CCUGCCCCUAAAAGCAUUGCAAGUAUGGCUGCUGUGUCCCAUAUGUGUCAGUAGGUGUCAGAGAGGAAAAAGAAUAUGUCUAUGUUGAGUGUUGUGACCUGUGAACAUCUGAAUGAUUGCUUAACCUU
ensembl:snoRNA Gm22494 small nucleolar RNA SNORA17